AGCAGCCGCGGUAAUUCCAGCUCCAAUAGCGUAUAUUAAAGUUGUUGCAGUUAAAAGCUCGUAGUUGAAUUUCGGGAUCAAUAUGUUGGUCGUGCCUCGGUACGUACUAGCUUAUUGGUUUCUCCUUUCUGAAGAACCAUGAUGUCAUUUAUUUGGUGUCGUGGGGAAUCAGGACUGUUACUUUGAAGAAAUUAGAGUGUUUAAAGCAGGCUCACGCUUGAAUACAUUAGCAUGGAAUAAUGAAAUAGGACGUUUGAUUCUAUUUUGUUGGUUUCUAGGAUCGACGUAAUGAUUAAUAGGGAUAGUUGGGGGCAUUAGUAUUCAAUUGUCAGAGGUGAAAUUCUUGGAUUUAUUGAAGACUAACUACUGCGAAAGCAUUUGCCAAGGAUGUUUUCAUUAAUCAAGAACGAAAGUUAGGGGAUCGAAGACGAUCAGAUACCGUCGUAGUCUUAACCAUAAACUAUGCCGACUAGGGAUCGGAUGAUGUUAAUUUUUAAUG
rnacentral:misc_RNA from 1 species